rnacentral:misc_RNA from 1 species
CUUCAAUCAAGCUAGAAUGAAUGACUCCUUUUUUCUUUUUAUUCCCCUCUAAGGAAGAAAAAGCAAAGACAUAACAAAAAUGGGAGUACCUAGAGCAAAAUCCAAUACAGAGGAUUGGAAAUCUGUAUUAUAUUUGGCAGAUGAGAGGAAAAGGGAAAUGGGAAGAAAAUACAAGAGAAAGAAGAAGAAAAAGGAUGAUUGAGAAAGAGGAAGAAAGGAGAAUAAAAGAGGAAUUCAGUUCUGCAAUUGCUUAGCACUAUUCAACAGGGAAUAACCAAGAAUUUGCUCCGUGCAACACAUACACAAUGUGAAUUUUGUCGAAGCCUAUCAAAAUUCUGGAUUAAUCCAGAGAGAAAUGUUACAGUAACGGUUACCAUCACAAAACAUCUAUGUACAAAAUCCCGUGCAUUCAUGGCUGUUCUUAUGCAGCUAAUGCCAUGCACAUACCAAAAUCUAGAGUUCAUUUUAACCUUCCUAUGACGAUAUUUUAGGGUUUCAUAUCUCCAAAUAAGUAAAAAUCCUUUUCUUAAGUGCUCUAGCUAAGUCAACAAUUUCUGAUUCUCUCAUUUGCAAUGUGAUACCGUCACCUGCUCUCCGUAUCUGAUCUUUUUGGGACAAUCUGCUUACAAUAUCAAUGAUCAAACUGGCUGUAUCUCUACUAGCUGUUAUCACUCUCAAGACAAUAGCUGAAUAACUUGGGUUCGACACAAGUCUAUUAAGUAAUAUCAGCACCUCCCGCAUCAGCAAAGUCCUUGCUUUAAUAUUUUCUGCUGGCUCAGAAGAGACUGAUAAUUCUACAUCCAUUUCCGACAUCAGAACUUGUAAAAUCAACAUAAGAAAGUUCUUCUCUCCAGGUAACUUGUGAUUCACCAGAAUUUCAGACCCAGAUUUUACUGACGCAGCUAGAAAAGCUAGCAUAACAACAGCUCUCCUACGAAGUUCUAUAUCCUGUACACCAUUUCCAUUGCAGGUAACACAGUCUACCAAACCCUCAAGGAUCGCAUUGAAAUUUUCACAAGCAGAAGCAUUGUUAUCUUCAUUUGCAGCAUUAUCCCCCUCUUUACAACUAGGACAGACAGAACUCAAUAGUUUGGGACAAUUUAGUAGCAAGUAUAGUAGAUGAAGAGCAUCCUUUUGCACAUGUGAACUGGCUUCCCUUUUUAAGAAUUGUGCAAUGCUUUCAAAGACUGGUGGCUGGCCAAAUAUUUCCCUUUCUGCAUGAGCAUUUGUUCUCAGAACAAUUACAUUCAUGAUAGAGACUGCCUCCAAUCUCACACGUUCUUCAGUCUUGCUCACAGCAAUUUGAAGCAACAAAUAAAAUAAAGAAACCCAGUCCACAGAAGAAAGUGGCAACCCAUUGUCAACAUUCCAGACUCCAUUCUUGCAAAGAAUUUGAGGAUCAGAAGGUAUGGUCCCAAACAGUCUAUAGCUUGCACAAGAUGCCUCGUUCUCACUCUCACUAAACAGGACUCGAUCCUUGAAGUUGUUUCCAGGUUUUGCUCCCUCGACCUUAAAACUGUCCCUGAGUAGAGUGCACUCUUCUCCAAAUUCCUUCCUGAACUAAACAGGUGCUUCAGAAACACAUGCAAUAUACUUAGAGAACUACAAAGAAUGUCAACAUUUUCAAGAUAACAGAGAUCAAUCAAAGGCUGAAGCAACGCCUCCAAAUGUAACAGUCCAUUGCUGACCUUAGUCAAUACAGAGUACAAACAAGAUAUUUUUGCAGCUUCAGAAGCAUGAAAAGAGUGCAUAUGGUACUGCAAAGCUGCAUCGGAAGACCAUUCACCCACCACAGAGUCACCUGAUUUGGAGGACGUAUUAAUGUUCAUGCGCCCAAAAAGAAAAUGAAAAUCUGCUGGACAUGCUAUGAACAACUUGGAGAUCAGAUUUCUUCCUAACUUCUGCUCAUUUGUGGAGCCCCAUAUCCCUAGCAGCUUGUUGCAAAGAUUAGUACUGGAAGGUAGAUCAUCUUUCAAGUCUAAAUUGCUAGAUUCGCCAGUUUCGUCUGUCUGAACUCCUAUGUCCUUUGAGGAUGAAGUUGCUAAACAUAUCUGAUAUCCCAGCUUGUUCCCUAAAGCUUUUGCAUUUCUAGAUUGUUGCGGAACCACAUGAUUGUCGAGAGAAGGAACUCCACAUUCCAAGUUUGUAUUUUUUGAGCAGUGGAUGCCCAUAUCUUUUUCCGCAGCAUGUGAAUAUACAAAUUUAAUCUGCUCCUCAUUUUUGUUUCUCUCAUUCCUAAGUUCAAAGCAUUCUUGUUCCAGGUCCAGCAGCUUCUUUGACACAUGACCCAACUCUCUCUUUAAUCGAUCAAUCUCUCGAUCUUUGGCGCUGUCUUGGGGAAGAGAAAUGGGAGGAAAGACUGAGGCAAAGCCAUUGGAGAAACGAUUGUCGAAAUCAAUCGGUCUUUGAGAAAGCUCUCGUGGAGGAGAGUGAGUAAUGAAACUAUCCUGAUGAUGUUGAAAUGGUGGGAUGUAAGUUGAUUGAGAAGGGAUUAAUGGGUCAGGAUUUGGCUUGAAAGCAGAAGAACAUGAAGAAGAAAGAGCAAUUUCUUCAACUUGGCGUAGUUGGUCUAAGAAAUCUUCGUCCCAUUCUUCAUCUCCGUUCAUUAUUCUUCCCAACGUUUUGCAGAGUGUGUGAGUGUGUUCUUUCUGUAGCAGUAAAGAGAAGCACAAAAACGUAGCAGUUCAAUUGAACUUGCGACUGCGGGGGAAGGAGUUUUAGCCAUAGCCAAAGCUGUAUUAUAGCUGAAUUUGAG